UCCUACGGGAGGCAGCAGUGGGGAAUAUUGGACAAUGGGCGCAAGCCUGAUCCAGCCAUGCCGCGUGUGUGAAGAAGGCCUUUUGGUUGUAAAGCACUUUAAGCGAGGAGGAGGCUACUUGGAUUAAUACUCUAGGAUAGUGGACGUUACUCGCAGAAUAAGCACCGGCUAACUCUGUGCCAGCACCCGCGGUAAUA
rnacentral:rRNA from 1 species